rnacentral:rRNA from 1 species
UACGGGGGGUGCAAGCGUUGUCCGGAAUCAUUGGGCGUAAAGAGUUCGUAGGCGGCACGUAAAGUCUGGUGUUAAAGGCAGAGGCUCAACUUCUGUACGGCACUGGAUACUUGCGAGCUAGAAUGCGGUAGAGGUAAAGGGAAUUCCUGGUGUAGCGGUGAAAUGCUUAGAUAUCACGCAGAACGCCGAUUGCGAAGGCAGCAUACCGGCGCCCAACUGACGCUGAGGCUCGAAAGCGUGGGGAGCAAACAGG